GAGGCCCUCUUGGACAACACUUCCUCUCCUGCCCAUGGUGGGAGGUUGGGAAGGACAUUCCCCCAUUUCCAUUUGCUCUGCCAUUCAAAACCUUGUGAGGGCCCUCAGGGAAGAAUCCCUUUGCAGAUGAGGAAACUGAGGCCCCACGUGGUGAAGACAAUUUUUACCCGAAUCCACCCACAACAAGAGACCAUUUGGAUAAUGUACAUUAUGGGAAGAGAACAGAGUCUCAGUGAAGAUCAUGUUUCCCCAGCAACACAGGUGCCAGGAGUAGCUGGCUCUGGUCCCAGCCCAGACUCAGAAAUCCUGAGCCACCAGACCAUUUCUAGAUUAACAAAGGCCUGCAUUAAUUUGAUUUCAGUGACCCACUGGAAACCAGUGUCAGCAUAACAACAGUUACGAGAGCUAAACCUACAAAAUAGAAACACAAGUAAAACUUGUUCAAGUGGUUUGCAGUCAUUGAACAUAGAUCAGCUCCUAUGAAAACAAACUCCAUGGGUUGGCUGGUCAGCUACAGCAGCCCUGCUCUGUGCUGUGGGUGAGGCUCAGGUCUGUCCCAUGAGUCUCUCAUUUUGGGACCCACAUUGGAGGAACAGUGGCUACCUGGGGCAAGCUCUUCUUAAUGGUAGAGUAGGAAGGAACACAAAAGACUGAGAAGUCAAGGCAAAGGGUGCAGGCACAUUCAAAGCCUCUGCUCACAUUUAUUGGCCAGAACAACUCCAUGACCAGCCCCAACAUCAAUGGAGAGAUUAUGAUACUCCUAAUAUAGGUGAGGAAAAGAGACAGAGAGAACAUUUGCUGAAGAGAACAUUUGCUGAACAGCACCCCCGCUAAACAUAUAAGGGUGGAACAGAGAUAGGUUAACAAAAAUCAACAUCCUGUGCCAAAAGGGGAAGCAGUCACUGUUUUGUGGCACUUGUGAAAUCCCACUGGGCAAACAUUCUGCUGGAUGGGUCACUGGGCAGCAGAGCAGGCUUGAAAGCCUAAAUACCCUAUAAGCUCAUGUUCCACCGCAGGCCAACACCAUGUACUACCCACAAACUCCCCAAAAGGGGAAAUGACCAAAGACAGAAAUGAAUUAAACCUUCGAACACAUGGUAUCUGUGCCACGGACCAUGAAACUGAAAUCCUGCAUCCACUUAAAUCCUGUACUAAGAGAUGCCUCUGUCUUCUGAGGUGUCAGGAAGUGAGUAAAGAAAAAACAAAGUAAAGAAAGCAAAGUCAGUAGAGCAGUAAAAAACAUCAAUUAAUCAAUUGAUCAAUUCAGGAAACUUGAAAUAAUUUUCCUUUUCGG
rnacentral:lncRNA from 1 species